rnacentral:rRNA from 1 species
GAAGUUGGAUACACCUUUUGUAAAUGUCUGAUCUCAUCAGACCUCAGAAGCUGAGCAUGGUUGGGCCUGGUUAGUACUUGGAUAAGACACCACUGGGAAUACCAGGUGCCACAUGCC